GCAGUGGUGGUUCAGUGGUAGAGUUUUUGCCUUCUGUGCUGGAGAUCCUGGUUGGGUUCCAGGCUAAUGUG
rnacentral:tRNA from 1 species